UGUGCACUCGUGCCUGGGGGCGGGGUCCUUCGUCUCCGCUCUCCGAACCGCUGCCGCCCCAAGCUGCAAAGGGCUUCAGCGCCAGCGCGGUUAACCCGUAAAGAGAGGCCAGAGAGCAUGGCCAGGCCCAACAGAUGGAAGCCACAGGGAGGCCAGUUGAGACUUGACUGAAGAAGGCAAGGACCGAGGGGCUGAGCACCCCCUUCCUGGGACCCAGCAAGCAUUUGCCUGGAAGGCCGAGCCCCGGGGUGGAAGGAGCGUGGUUCUGGAAACGAGAAGGGCCUCUGCUUCUGGUCUGCAGCUGGUCAUUUAGUUCUCCAAGCCCGCGCGUCCGCAUGUCUGAAACAUUGGUGAGAAUCAAGUGCUCGGCACGGCAAGGACGGCGGGAGCGGCCCAUGACUGGCCCCAGCCCGGGACGGGACGGCGCUUUUCCACAGGCGGUCUCAGGAAGGCCGCAGGAACUCCUUGGCAGGUGUCCUCACUAUUCUCACUGCACGAACCGGGAGGCUGCCGCUGCCGUCCGUCCGUCCGUCCAUCGGAGGAGUUAGGCGUGCGCUGUCCAAGGUGGUACGACAGGGUGGAGCACAACCAAGGCUCGGAUGUAUUCACUGACACCAGAGCCUACUCCCGACUCUGCACUACAACAGCCUCAUCCUGGGGAUUAGCAGCAAAGUGGAUGCCAUUGGAUUAGAGAUUAUAAUUGGCAAGGGAGAUCUUCUGCUAAAGGAAGACUGCUUGGAGCAACAAACCCACUUUUCAACUGAGAAUACAUUGGUACAGCAGAGAAAUGUGUGCAGUCUGAACAGACGCAGAGCCCCUUGUUGAUUGCCAAGUCGUCUGAUGUGGUGGCCUGGCUCUAAUGCUGGCCUUAGCCUCAGUCUCCUAUAUUUCCCUGUAUUGACCCCUUGGUCACAGUAGAACCUGCAUGUCUACUGAAGAGCUUUUUGAGGUGCACCCAGUUGUGAGAAGUUGCCUCUUUCA